rnacentral:rRNA from 1 species
CCUACGGGUGACAGCAGUGGGGAAUAUUGGGCAAUGGGCGCAAGCCUGACCCAGCAACGCCGCGUGAAGGAAGAAGGCUUUCGGGUUGUAAACUUCUUUUCUCAGGGACGAAGCAAGUGACGGUACCUGAGUAAUAAGCUACGGCUAACUACGUGCCAGCAGCCGCGGUAAUACGUAGGGGGCAAGCGUUAUCCGGAUUUACUGGGUGUAAAGGGCGUGGAGGCGGGAAAGCAAGUCAGAUGUGAAAACCAUGGGCUCAACCUGUGGCCUGCAUUUGAAACUGUUUUUCUGGAGUACUGGAGAGGCAGACAGAAUUCCUGGUGUAGCGGUGAAAUGCGUAGAUAUUAGGAGGAACACCAGUGGCGAAGGCGGUCUGCUGGACAGCAACUGACGCUGAGGCGCGAAAGCGUGGGGAGCAAACAGGAUUAGAUACCCUGGUAGUC